GGUAUCGUUGCGCGAGCGGCGGCGGUAAGAUAGAGGUCGCGAGCGUUGGUGUGAGAGAGUGGGCGUAAAUGGUGCGUAGGUGGUGGGGUAAGUCGGAUGUGAAAGCGCCGAGCGUAACUCGGAAAGGGCAUUUGAAACUACCCUGCGGGAGGGUCGGAGGGGGGACUGGAAUUCUCGGUGUAGCAGUGAAAUGCGUAGAUAUCGAGAGGAACACCAGUGGCGAAGGCGAGUCCCUGGACGACUCCUGACACUGAGGCACGAAAGCUAGGGGAGCAAACAGGAUUAGAUACCCCGGUAGUC
rnacentral:rRNA from 1 species